GGUCAGAGUCUCCCAGAACUCGCCCAAACGUUUCUGCUGUGUGUGCUCUGGGGCAUGUCUCUCUUUGCCUCUUGGAUCUCAGGCCAAUGAGGAAAUAGAGUGCAGAUGAUGGCUUUGUUCAACUCACUAAGCCCUUCCUCCUGUGUUCAGCCAACGUUUGCAGAAGACUGCCGUCUUUUACCAUCAGAAACAGAUGCUGUCAUGCUCACUGCCAUGGCUUAUUUUGAAUUCCAGCAACUAACACCCCUUUGGCUUUUCCUCAAAAAUAAAAGUCACAGUUUAAAUUCA